CAAAUUUGUAGCUCACGCUAUAUAUUUUACCACUUGUGAAUAAGGGGACUCGUCUCUGCAUUUACGUGUCAUUCAUAAUAGAUGUUGUUUAUUGUAAGCAAA
rnacentral:misc_RNA from 1 species